rnacentral:misc_RNA from 1 species
AUUUCUUCUUCCAUGGCAUAGUUAAAGGUCACCGCCCUACAGCAAUGGGCAUCGCCAAAGCAGCCAUUGCAAACUCAUCGGUCGGAUUUGGUAUGAUGAUGAUCGCCGAUGAACCCUUGACCCUAAAGCCCCACCGCAGUUCAAAGCUUGUAGGAAGAGCACAAGGGAUUUAUGCUUCUGCUUCGCAGAGUGAGUUUGAUUUUUUAAUGGUUUUGAGCCUUACUUUCAUGGAAGGGAAGUAUAAUGGGAGCAGUUUGAGUGUUCUUGGGCGUAACCCCAUAGUAUCCGGCGAGAGGGAGAUGCCGAUCGUUGGUGGAACUGUGGUUUUUAAGUUUGGUGGCGGCUAUGUUAAGGCAAAAACAUAUGAAUAUGAUAAUAAAACCUUAAAUGCUGUAGUGGAGUAUAAUGUCUGUGUUCUCCACCAUUAAUUGAUGGUUGUUCACUCUUCAGAA